rnacentral:rRNA from 1 species
AUUGAACGCUGGCGGCAGGCCUAACACAUGCAAGUCGAACGAGUGGCGGACGGGUGAGUAAUGUCUGGGAAACUGCCCGAUGGAGGGGGAUAACUACUGGAAACGGUAGCUAAUACCGCAUACCAUCGGAUGUGCCCAGAUGUGAUUAGCUUGUAGGUGAGGUAACGGCGCACCUAGGAGACGAUCCCUAGCGUGUCUGAGAGGAUGACCAGCCAAACUGGAUCUGAGACACGGUGCAGAGUCCUACGGGAGGCAGCAGUGGGGAAUAUUGCAAAAUGGGCGACAGCCUGAUCCAGCCAUGCCGCGUGUGUGAAGAAGGUCUUCGGAUUGUAAAGCACUUGAAGUUGGGAGGCGUUACCAACAGAAUAAGCACCGGCUAACUUCGUGCCAGCAGCCGCGGUAAUU